AAGACUAUACUCUCAGGGAUCAUUUCUAUAGUUUGUUACCAGAGGAGUUUCUCUGAACAUGUAGAGCACAGAGAAUGCAUAGCA
ensembl:snoRNA U3 Small nucleolar RNA U3